AAUUUCACUGUUAAUUCACUUCCUGGCUCUGUUUUGAACCACUAAAAUGGGGUCCACCAUAGAUAUGUCUCUUCCAGAGGUGGCAAGUGGUAAAGCAACAUCAACACUAGCUCCAGGCCACUUGACACUUGGCUUUAACACCACUGAGCAGUGCUUGUCUCUUGUUUAGUGGUAUAGACAUAACAAGAGAGCUGCCCAAAGUUAAGCAUCCAGUGAUCUUGAUUUUCACCUAACCUUGCUGUUAGCCCCAAGCUUGCGCAAGCUUGCUCCUUCAUCUUUUUUACAAUUCUUCAAGAGGUAUGGGUGAGAAGUGCUGUUCAAGCGCCAAAUGUUGACUAAUUACUAUUAUUACAAACAUUGCAAGGUUGGCUUGCUGGGGGUGUUCAGUGUGAGGGUCCUAAUCACAGAUAAUGAGACAUCAGUGGGAAAUUACAUUGGUUCCUGUGGUGACACACUGCAGUAAAGAAAAUGCUUUUUUUUUCCCCUCCUAAAAGACUAAUUGCUCUGUGCUAUUGUUUAACAUCCUGCAAUUGCAAGUACUUUCACAGGAAAAGUAGUUGUUUUUUUGGAUUGGUGUGUAAGUGUGCAUUUAGAAAGGGCUUAAUGUGAAACUGUGAACAGCAAAGGAAAGUAGAAGGAAACCCAAAGGUGACAUAUGCCCCUCUUAGAGAGCCUGAGAUUCCUAUGCAUAAAUUAACAUAAUUAACCUGAGUUAUAUAUAUACAGUGUAAAGGCUAGUAUCCCAUCUACAGAAUACAACCAUGCAAACGCAGUGAAUGACUAUGCAGUGUGACAUGUCAGUACCCUCCUGUGUAUUGAACUGGAACUUAAUUCCAGAUGGCAAACAGUAAGAAAGUUUUAAAUAUGCCUUUGGAUUUUAUCAGGUUGCAGUUCUGGGAUUAUCUGGAGAAAGAUACAAUAGAAAAAGAAAAGAGGCUUAUAAUGGACAUAGUUUUAUGCACACAGAAAUAGUUUGCUACAGAAUCAUUUAAUAAAAUGUAGAAUUGUGCUAAAUGUGUUUAUUAUGAUAAUUUUCCCUACUUUUGUUAUUGCUGCAGUCUGAUGGGGAGCUGUGUGACUUCAGAUAACAUCUAGACAGUGACUUCAAGAGCAAUAACUGAAGCUGAGAGGAAGUGUUGCUACCAGGUAGACUCUCUACUCAUCACCCACUGUGGAACAGGAAAUAACCAUAUGGACAUUCAUACAUCAAACAGCAGAGAAGACUUCUGAAAUGGUAGAUUAGCAUAGUGUGUUGGGGACGGCUGGAAACUGCAGAGAUGAGCUCCAGAAACAUCUGUCUAUUUUUACUGUCUCCAUUUACUUCAAAUGGGUGGGUGUCUAGUCUUCUCUCACAAAACUCUGCUCACUGGAGGCCUCUGCAAAAUUAUGCAGGUGUGAAAUGUGUGCGAGUGGAGAGGCAGGCUGAGAUUUCCCAGCCCAUGGGAGGCACUGUAACAACUGGUUCCCGUUUGGGGUGUCCCCAGCCCAACUCCAAAGCUAAGAUCUUCUCCUGAGUGCUGUCCUCUGCUUGGAAAGCUGCAAAUGUUACAAGCCUGACAGAGGAUGAAAUUUGAUGACUACAUCACAGUAGAU